GCCUGGUUUUUAAAUGUGCACUCUUUGUCUCACUAAGCCGGACAGAGUCAGACAGCAAGUUCCAGAAAUACAUGAGAGGGAAGAAAUGUCAAUCUUUUCCAGAGACCAACAGCUCCUCAUCCCCCCAAGCUUUGUCAAAACCAUCUUCAGACUUCCACUGAACAUCUUUCCAGUGCUGAAGAUCUCACUGCGCUGCUUCUUUGACUUCAACAGAGAUGCUCAUGUCAUCUCUUUGAGUUUUCACCCCUGUGGUCCCACCCUCAGCAGUGAAGGAACACAGAUAAUGGAAGAGGACCAGCAGCAGGAAGAUCUCCCCUUUUAUUUAGAAAGUUACACCUUUAUACCUAAAUUCAGUUAUCAAAGCUAUAACUUUCUAAAAACUGAUUUUAUGCCAUUGAAGAAUAAAAAUAUUAACAAAUUUAUUACAGACAGACCGUGGCGGUGUUUCCGAGAACACUACCGUGAAAUAUACAGUAGAAAGAAAAAUCAACAUGUAUUUGCUGUCAAUUUUUUGAAAAAUUCUGAAACUAUAUUUUUUGUUGAUAAGCCAAAAUAUCGACCGAAGAAGGGUGAGAAUUCUGCAGCUGAAUUCACUGUACACACAGAGGUUAUUUUAAUAGAAAAGAUUGAUACAUUCCUCAAACUAAAUUUAGAGAAUAAUAGAUCUAAAGUGGAGACAAUUGUGAUUUAUACAUUGAACAGCCCAUGUCUGAAGAGAGAAAUUCAGGACAUUGAGCCAUGUAUGUUUCAACUUUUAGUAAAAGCCUGUGAAUGGCACAGUAAAUAUGGGAUGUUUACUUUUGUCUUAUUCACAAAAUUUUGGGGACCAAUUAAAUCUGAAUUUUUUGAAGAUCUCCACAAUCUUCAUUUAGGUGCCGAAAAACACAAUAUUCCUUUCCAACUUGACAGAAAAAAAUUGAAAAAAAUGUAAGAAUUGAUAGACGACAGUUACUGUCCAGGGUUGAAGAUACGGACAAAAACCUUCUAUGUAAUGAUUUUAAAAAGGUUAAGGAUGAACUCAAGAGAUUGGCAGAAAUUACAGAACCUUUGACCAUUCAACAACAUUUGGACAGGGGAGAAAAAGUGAUUAGUUCAUUCCCAUUUCACCCAAACAGCCAAGAACAAAUUUGCAAAAUUUUAUCCAAGAUUUGGUGUGAAGUGGUGGAAAACAGUGCAGCGAAAUCUAUUAGUGCAGCAAUAACAGCAGACUGCAACACUGCAGUAGUUAAAUGCUUUUUACAAAGUCUGGAGUCUAUAUUAGGUAACAGCAGCCCUAUACAGUUUUAUCAGAUCCCUCAGAAUUGGUUAAAUUGAUCAAACUUUGGAUGUCUUUUGGUUUCAAGACUUUAUUUUUUAAUUUUAAAAAUACGAAACUUCUUAUUUGUAUUUCAGAACCUUGUUGUCUGCUCUGCUUUGAGGUUUUGGCAAUAAAAUAUAUAUAUAUA